rnacentral:misc_RNA from 1 species
GCAAACUUGGUCAUUUAGAGGAAGUAAAAGUCGUAACAAGGUUUCCGUAGGUGAACCUGCGGAAGGAUCAUUAUCGUACAACGGAGGCGCGAGGGCUGUCGCUGACCAAAAGGUCGUGCACGCCCCAGCGUCUGCAUCCCAUCCCUCACCCCUUGUGCACCACCGCGUGGGCCCCCCUUUUUGGCUUCGUUCGGAAGCGGUGCUCGCGUCUUUUUAACACAAACACGAUGCAGUGUAGAAUGUAUUCCUUUAUGCGAUGACACGCAUAGUCAAUACAACUUUCAACAACGGAUCUCUUGGCUCUCGCAUCGAUGAAGAACGCAGC